rnacentral:lncRNA from 1 species
AUGGGAGGGAGGGGGAGGGGGCAGCGGAGAGGGCUGCCGUUUAGCAUCUCCAAAUGUAUACCAGCAAGGAGAGACCCUGAACAUCUUCAUCAAGGCUGCGUAAAGGAUUCUACAUGCAUUCUCUCCUGGAUGAAAGUGCACAUAGAAAACAAUGACAUGAGAAAAAGAGAAGAGCAAAACUGGCUUUCACCUUUUUCCCUUCCCCUUCACUUUUUCUACCAAAGUUGGCCAAAAAGAGACAAUCAAGAGGUAACACCAUUCAUGCUGCACUCUCUACCCCACAUAAGGCAAGUGAAAAGAGUACCCCCUCGGGAGAUGAGAAUGUUGGACAGAUCACAUCAUCUUGCCUCGACUGAUUUCUUGAGUGGGUGCAUCCUGCUCAGGAAAUGGUGGAGGAGUGAACAUAAUUCAAUCUCCCAAUCACAGGGGUUUGAGCAAUGAAGAUAAUUGCUUGAAAGCACAUUCAGAACUCCUUAUUAUACUUCUCCACUGAGGCAAUUUUCACAUCAAUUUGGAUGUGCCCCCCGGGGGAAGAGGUGUGUGGACCUGUCUAGAAUGGGCUGGAAUCUGAUAUUUCAUUGCUGCAUAUUUAAUUUAUCUUUCAAUAUGUUCCAGAUUAAACUUCUCCAGUCUUCUUGAGCUGUAUUAUCAUCGACAGCACAAAUCAACCAAGCACAAAAUGUUGGAUAUGUAUUGCAGCCUUAACUUGCACUGACACACUGAAAAAACUUUGAACCUCAGCUCAGUGUGUCCUGUAUCUGCAAGCAAACUGUUGAUCCAAACAUUCUACAAAAUAUUUUUGACUGCUUAUUGCAAGCAAUGUUAGGGCAGGAAUCCAAGGGCCUGUGCGCACUUGCCAGCAUAGAAUUAUAGAAUUAUAUCAUUCCAUGCCGAAACAGACCCAGUGGAACCUGGUUUCCAGCACUCACAGUAAUGACAGCCUGCCCAUAAUAAUAGUGGCCACAAAAACAUCUGGCCACAGCAAUUGCGAUCAGGGAUGCACCACAUAACUGUGCAGCCACAGCUGUGCCAUAGCCUGCAGCGUUCACACCUGGAAGCAGCUGCGAGCACUGCUGGCCAGGAGCAGUCCAGCUGCUCCUGGUCAAGCUGUGGACAGCAAUUUAGCUGUCCACAGCUAGUAGAGUUCGGGAGUGUCUACAGAUGCUUCCGAAUGCUGUGGCCUCCAAAAAGUGUGGGCACACACCGGACGUUCAGCAACAAACUGCGAACAGGCCCCAUGUUGACAAAUGUAAAGAGAAAUGGUUUUCAUGUAAUAGAUAAUAACAUUAAUUAAAUUGCAGUUUUCAGUUACUCCAUCCAAGAUCAGCUGUGGUAACAAGUCUGUCUGCAUCUGAUGAAGUAGGCUUGGUCUAGGAAAACUCAUGCUACAGACUUCUUUGGAGUCUCUGAGGUACUACUUAGACCCCCUUGCUAUACUGACCCAGGCUAAUACAGCUAUGUCUUUGAAGUUUGUAUGCAUUCUCUGUAAUUCACUAGAUGGCAUGGAUCAGUCCUUUCUUCUUGUUCAAAACAAGCCUAAUGAGUAUUCUGCAAAACUGAACUAGCCAGUUUUAGUAUUAGCCAGAAUUAGUAGCCUUCGUGUGGCAAAAGUUAACAUUAACAUUACUACCUUGUAAAAUCCAAGGAAUUCAGAGAUAAGAAUAAGACAUUAAAACUAGGUUUUCUAGUUCUAUAGUGUUUGGUUAACCUAUCUGUUAGACUGAUGAAUAUAAAAUCAUCAAUAAAUGUAAACAGUAAAAAGUAUUUUGAUCA